GUGGGGAAUAUUGGACAAUGGGCGAAAGCCUGAUCCAGCCAUGCCGCGUGUGUGAAGAAGGUCUUCGGAUUGUAAAGCACUUUAAGUUGGGAGGAAGGGCAGUAAGUUAAUACCUUGCUGCUUUGACGUUACCAACAGAAUAAGCACCGGCUAACUUCGUGCCAGCAGCCGCGGUAAUACGAAGGGUGCAAGCGUUAAUCGGAAUUACUGGGCGUAAAGCGCGCGUAGGUGGUUCAGCAAGUUGAAGGUGAAAUCCCCGGGCUCAACCUGGGAACUGCCUCCAAAACUACUGAGCUAGAGUACGGUAGAGGGUAGUGGAAUUUCCUGUGUAGCGGUGAAAUGCGUAGAUAUAGGAAGGAACACCAGUGGCGAAGGCGACUACCUGGACUGAUACUGACACUGAGGUGCGAAAGCGUGGGGAGCAAACAGGAUUAGAAACCCGUGUAGUCC
rnacentral:rRNA from 1 species